GAAAGACAGCAUAAAGAACUUCUAAUUCUUUUAAGGGAGAACACUUCCAUCUUUCC
rnacentral:tRNA from 1 species